rnacentral:rRNA from 1 species
ACGAACGCUUGCGGCGUUCUUAACACAUGCAAGUCGAACGGAAAGGCCCUGCUUUUGUGGGGUGCUCGAGGGGCGAACGGGUGAGUAACACGUGAGUAACCUGCCCUUGACUUUGGGAUAACUUCAGGAAACUGGGGCUAAUACCGGAUAGGAGCUCCUGCUGCAUGGUGGGGGUUGGAAAGUUUCGGCGGGUGGGGAUGGACUCGCGGCUUAUCAGCUUGUUGGUGGGGUAGUGGCUUACCAAGGCUUUGACGGGUAGCCGGCCUGAGAGGGUGACCGGCCACAUUGGGACUGAGAUACGGCCCAGACUCCUACGGGAGGCAGCAGUGGGGAAUAUUGCACAAUGGGCGGAAGCCUGAUGCAGCAACGCCGCGUGCGGGAUGACGGCCUUCGGGUUGUAAACCGCUUUCGCCUGUGACGAAGCGUGAGUGACGGUAAUGGGUAAAGAAGCACCGGCUAACUACGUG